UACGAGUGCCUCGAGCGUUAUCCGGAAUUAUUGGGCGUAAAGGGUGCGUAGGUUUCGAUGUUAGUCUCUCGUUAAAUUCUUCGGCUUAACCGAGGAGCUGCGAGGGAAACGGCAUUGAUUAGAGGACGGAAGAGGUUUCUGGAACUCAUAGUGUAGCGGUGAAAUGCGUUGAUAUUAUGGGGAACACCAAAAGCGAAGGCAAGAAACUGGUCCGCUCCUGACACUGAAGCACGAAAGCGUGGGUCGCGAA
rnacentral:rRNA from 1 species